CCGCAGGGGCAGGAGCUCCUUGCCGGCUCCGGUUCUGCUCGGAGCCCCCAUCUCCGGAGCCAAGCCUGCCGGCCACCGCCUCCCCGAAGCGAGCCAUCCUGGAAGAAAACGCACAGGUGAGCCGAAGCAGCACGGCCGAGGCAGCGGGGGAGAAGAGGGAGGGAGGAGGGUGUGUGGAGGGGGGGGUUGCGGGGCCCCCUCCUCCUCCUCCUCUCUGGGUGAUGCUCAGCUCCGUCGCUCCUCCAUCCCUCCGAGGGAGCCGAGACCCGCGUAGGGAGGGAGCAGGCAGCGCCGGGCUCAGCACCCUCGGCACAGCGGGACCCCGAGCUGGGGGGGGGGGGGACACAGCAGGGAGCCCCCAGGGCACGGCGGAGGCUGCGGCGCUCCGUCCUUAAGCAGCCCCCACGCCUUCCGCCGCGACGCGAGGGGUUAAAAGCAGCCACAUCCUUCCCAGCACCCUGCCCCAGCACCCCAACCAGCCCCCUUCCCUGCCCCUCCUGGCGAGCGCUGCACCCCGCAGCACCGCAUCCCUCUGGCCCCACAGUGACACGGUUUGGGCACAGCCCUACACCCGCCACCCCCCCCCAAAAUCCUGCCCCGCACGGGCUCCCCGCAGCUCGGGCAGCCCCAGCGCAGCGGCCACCCCGAGCACACGGCCAGCUCUCCCCGCCAGAGGCCUGGGGUCUGGAUUUUAACACACGGAUGUGCUGCUGCUCGGGGCCUGGCGAUGCCUCGGAUUCGGAUGUCUCCAUGGUUACCUGCUCACGGUGGAGCUGGGGGUAAUCGAGCUCGCGGGGUUCACCGUUGGGCGCGCAUCACCCUCUUCCCGCGCAGCCUGGCCCCGCUUUGUCCCCCCGGGUGCCACCGAGCACCGGGUGCCACCACCGCCAGCUGGGCAGGAGCAGCGAGGCUCACCCCGAGGACUCGGUACGUGCACGGUGCCGCCGGCCCCACGGAUGAUUAGGCACAAAACCAGCCUGGCAUCCCGAAAGCAAACGCAAUCCCGAGCCGCGCAGAGCCAAAGCCGAGCGUCUCCUCCCACCGCCCCGCACAGCUCCGGCGAGACAGGAGCGAAGCACGGAGAGGGGCGGGCAGGAUGCGUGCCGACAGCCAGCAGAGCUGCUGGCAGCCCCAGGGAGCCAGGAGCAGCAGCACCCACCCACACGUGGCUGGCCCCACGCCUGCUUCCUCGCAGGAGCAUCCCUCGGCCGCAGGCGUGCGUAAAGGUGAGCGGGGUGCCAGGGGCCACCAGCCCAAGGAGCUGGCUGGAAGCACUGUGCCAAAAAUAACAAUAAUAAUAAUAAUAAUAAUGCAGAACUGCAAAGCACAGCAGCCCAGCUGAACAAAAAUGAGAGGUUUUAUUAUUAGUAUCUGACUUUGCCUGACCCUAAGCUUGUGGGAACAGCCAUUGAGACACCCAAACUCAUAGCCCAAAGCCAGCACCACUUCGUUCUGCAGGCACUGCCCAGGCUUCACCCGUCCUCACUGCUCACUUGCUGACCCCGAGUCCUGUGGAGCAGCACUCCGGGGUAACCUCAAGGACCUCCAGCUUUUGAAUCCUGCCUUCAUUCUGCACAGGCACAGAAGCCUGGCCAGCUUUUCCUCUCCUCCUCCCUGCGUGCACAGCCACAGACUCUUCAGAUGUGGACUAAUUGGAGAGAGUUCGGAGGGCAGCAAAGAGCACGCAGAGGGCAGCAAAACAACCUGUUGAAAAAAAAAAAAAAAAAGCCCCAAAGAGCUGGAUUUGUCUGGUCUGGAAAUCAGAAGGCAGAAGAGACGUGAUGCAGUCUUCAAUUAUGCAAAAGGUUGCUACAAAGGGUGCGGGAAUAAAUUGUGCUCCAUCCCCACUGGGAACAGGACAAGAAGUAAUGGGCUGUAAAUUGUAAAUUAGACACUUGGAGGGGGAAAAAAAAGAGAGAUACUUAGCAG